UACGUAGGGCGCAAGCGUUGUCCGGAAUUAUUGGGCGUAAAGAGCUCGUAGGCGGUUUGUCGCGUCUGCUGUGAAAACCUAAGGCUCAACCUUGGGCUUGCAGUGGGUACGGGCAGACUAGAGUGCGGUAGGGGUGACUGGAAUUCCUGGUGUAGCGGUGGAAUGCGCAGAUAUCAGGAGGAACACCGAUGGCGAAGGCAGGUCACUGGGCCGCAACUGACGCUGGAGGAGCGGAAAGCGUUGGGGAGCAAACAGG
rnacentral:rRNA from 1 species